UUGCACUGUUCGUAAUCGGUUGUUACUCCUGUUGACGAUCGGUUCCAUUCCAGUGCUAUAUAAACCCCAGAAAGAAGAGUAUGGCUGACAAAUGCUUGGCCUGUUUCUGUCUGUCUGGGAACACGU